rnacentral:rRNA from 1 species
UACGGAGGGGGGUUAGCGUUGUUCGGAAUUACUGGGCGUAAAGCGCGCGUAGGCGGAUUAGUCAGUUAGAGGUGAAAAUCCCAGGGGCUCAACCCUGGAACUGCCUUUAAUACUGCUAGUCUUGAGUUCGAGAGAGGUGAGUGGAAUUCCGAGUGUAGAGGUGAAAAUUCGUAGAUAUUCGGAGGAACACCAGUGGCGAAGGCGGCUCACUGGCUCGAUACUGACGCUGAGGUGCGAAAAGUGUGGGGGAGCAAAACAGGAUUAGAUACCCGCGUAGUCC